rnacentral:rRNA from 1 species
UGGGGAAUAUUGGACAAUGGGCGAAAGCCUGAUCCAGCCAUGCCGCGUGUGUGAAGAAGGUCUUCGGAUUGUAAAGCACUUUAAGUUAGGAGGAAGGGCAUUAACCUAAUACGUUAGUGUUUUGACGUUACCGACAGAAUAAGCACCGGCUAACUCUGUGCCAGCAGCCGCGGUAAUACAGAGGGUGCAAGCGUUAAUCGGAAUUACUGGGCGUAAAGCGCGCGUAGGUGGUUUGUUAAGUUGGAUGUGAAAUCCCCGGGCUCAACCUGGGAACUGCAUUCAAAACUGACUGACUAGAGUAUGGUAGAGGGUGGUGGAAUUUCCUGUGUAGCGGUGAAAUGCGUAGAUAUAGGAAGGAACACCAGUGGCGAAGGCGACCACCUGGACUAAUACUGACACUGAGGUGCGAAAGCGUGGGGAGCAAACA